UACGGGGGGGGCAAGCGUUGUUCGGAAUUACUGGGCGUAAAGGGCGUGUAGGUGGCCAACUAAGUCCGACGUGAAAUCCCCAGGCUUAACCUGGGAACUGCGUCGGAUACUGGAUGGCUUGAAUUCGGGAGAGGAAUGCAGAAUUCCAGAUGCAGCGGUGAAAUGCGUAGAUAUCUGGAGGAACACCAAUGGCGAAGGCAGCUCGCUGGGACGUUACUGACGCUGAGACGCGAAAGCGUGGGGAGCAAACAGG
rnacentral:rRNA from 1 species